UACGUAGGGACCGAGCGUUGUCCGGAUUCAUUGGGCGUAAAGAGCUCGUAGGCGGCUGUUCAAGUCGAACGUGAAAACUCGGGGCUCAACUCCGAGCCUGCGUUCGAUACUGCAGGGCUAGAGUCCGGAAGAGGCGAGUGGAAUUCCUGGUGUAGCGGUGGAAUGCGCAGAUAUCAGGAGGAACACCAAUAGCGAAGGCAGCUCGCUGGGACGGUACUGACGCUAAGGCGCGAAAGCGUGGGGAGCGAACAGG
rnacentral:rRNA from 1 species